AGCUAAACCGGACUCGUUAUGCUGACACGUGACGGAAGGAUCAUUACGAAUUGUCACAAGAGCUGUUGCUGGUCCUCAAGCGGGGGCAUGUGCACGCUCUGUUAACACAUCCACUCACACCCUGUGCACCCUCUGUAGUUCUGUGGUUGGGGGACCCAUCCUCCUGCUGUGGUUCUGCAUCUUUACACACACACACUGUAACAAAGUCUCAUGGAAUGCAUCUGCGUUUAACGCAUACAAUACAACUUUCAGCAACGGAUCUCUUGGCUCUCGCAUCGAUAAGAACGCAGCGAAUGCGAUAAGUAAUGUGAAUUGCAGAAUUCAGUGAAUCAUCGAAUCUUUGAACGCACCUUGCGCCCUUUGGCCAUUCCGAAGGGCAUGCCUGUUUGAGUAUCAUGAACACCUCAACUCUUCAUGGUUUUCCGUGAUGAGCUUGGACUUUGGGGGUUUUGCUGGCCUACGGUCGGCUCCUCUAAAAUGAAUCAGCUUGCCAGUGUAUUGGUGGGCAUCACAGGUGUGAUAACUAUCUACGCUUGUGGUUUUCCCACCAGGUAACCUUCAGCAGUGGACAGUUCGCUGGAAGCUCACAGAUGUCUCUCCUCAAGGUGAGGGACAGCCCUUUGAAUGUCUGGAUCUCAAUCAGGUAGGACUACCCGUAAACUUAAGCAUAUCAAUAAGCGGAGGAAAAGAACCUUAACAGGAUCCCCCUUUCACUGGAGUGAAGCGGAAGAGCCCAUUUAAAUCUGACUGCUCUGUCGCCGAUUGUAUCGG
rnacentral:rRNA from 1 species